GACGAACGCUGGCGGCGUGCUUAACACAUGCAAGUCGAACGGUGAAGCAGGAGCUUGCUCUUGUGGAUCAGUGGCGAACGGGUGAGUAACACGUGAGCAACCUGCCCUUGACCCUGGGAUAAGCGCUGGAAACGGCGUCUAAUACUGGAUAUGUGAUGUGACCGCAUGGUCUGCAUCUGGAAAGAAUUUCGGUUGGGGAUGGGCUCGCGGGCUAUCAGCUUGUGGGUGAGGUAAUGGCUCACCAAGGCGUCGACGGGUAGCCGGCCUGAGAGGGUGACCGGCCACACUGGGACUGAGACACGGCCCAGACUCCUACGGGAGGCAGCAGUGGGGAAUAUUGCACAAUGGGCGGAAGCCUGAUGCAGCAACGCCGCGUGAGGGAUGACGGCCUUCGGGUUGUAAACCUCUUUUAGCAGGGAAGAAGCGAAAGUGACGGUACCUGCAGAAAAAGCACCGGCUAACUACGUGCCAGCCGCCGCCGUAA
rnacentral:rRNA from 1 species